rnacentral:rRNA from 1 species
UGAAAUCUGGCUUUCGGGCCCGAGUUGUAAUUUGCAGAGGAUGACUUUGAUGCGGUGCCUUCCGAGUUCCCUGGAACGGGACGCCAUAGAGGGUGAGAGCCCCGUCUGGUUGGAUGCCAAAUCUCUGUAAGUCUCCUUCGACGAGUCGAGUAGUUUGGGAAUGCUGCUCUAAAUGGGAGGUAUAUGUCUUCUAAAGCUAAAUACCGGCCAGAGACCGAUAGCGCACAAGUAGAGUGAUCGAAAGAUGAAAAGCACUUUGAAAAGAGAGUUAAAAAGUACGUGAAAUUGUUGAAAGGGAAGCGUUUAUGACCAGACUUGGGCUUGGUUAAUCAUCUGGGGUUCUCCCCAGUGCACUUUUCCAGUCCAGGCCAGCAUCAGUUUUCGCCGGGGGAUAAAGACUUCGGGAAUGUGGCUCCCCUCGGGGAGUGUUAUAGCCCGUUGUGUAAUACCCUGGCGGGGACUGAGGUUCGCGCUUCUGCAAGGAU